rnacentral:rRNA from 1 species
GACGAACGCUGGCGGCGUGCUUAACACAUGCAAGUCGAACGGAAAGGCCCUGCUUUUGUGGGGUGCUCGAGUGGCGAACGGGUGAGUAACACGUGAGUAACCUGCCCUUGACUGUGGGAUAACUUCAGGAAACUGGGGCUAAUACCGGAUAGGAGCUCCUGCUGCAUGGUGGGGGUUGGAAAGUUUCGGCGGUUGGGGAUGGACUCGCGGCUUAUCAGCUUGUUGGUGGGGUAGUGGCUUACCAAGGCUUUGACGGGUAGCCGGCCUGAGAGGGUGACCGGCCACAUUGGGACUGAGAUACGGCCCAGACUCCUACGGGAGGCAGCGGUGGGGAGUAUUGCACAAUGGGCGGAAGCCUGAUGCAGCAACGCCGCGUGCGGGAUGACGGCCUUCGGGUUGUAAACCGCUUUCGCCUGUGACGAAGCGUGAGUGACGGUAAUGGGUAAAGAAGCACCGGCUAACUACGUG